rnacentral:rRNA from 1 species
UUACGGUCAAAUCACGCUGAAAACACCGGUUCUCGUUCGAUCACCGAAGUUAAGCAUCGUAGAGCCAGGUCAGUACUUAGAUGGGGGGACCGCUUGGGAACACCUGGUACUGUAAG